UUUUUUUUUUUCUUCCUAGAAUUCAUACUCCACUUCCACCUCUCCAAAGCUUGCCGUUUUCUUCAGAGUUCCCAUAUAACUUACCUCUCGGCAGAUCGCACCACUCCUUAUGUUGGGAAGCACAACUGGCAAAAAAAAAGCACAGAACAUCUGUGGAACAGGAAGUGAAGUUUAAAAGCACUCCCUUUCAAAUAGAAAAGAUGAUUCAUUCAUUGUUCAAGAUGGACAAACAUACUGAAGAUGAGGAUUUCUUCAGUUUUAUUUCAUAUUUCAAGGAAAUGUGGGACAGAGCUAGGCUGACCAGAUCAUGGCAUUUGUAGGAGAUGCAAUACAUGUCAGGUAUGUGCAUGCACAUAUAAGGAUGUUUGUAUAGACCUAUAUGUCAGUGUGAACAAAAUGAAAGGUGGCGACUAUUCUCUUCUUGAAUCUGUAAGUAAUGGAAAAACAGACAUUGUU
rnacentral:lncRNA from 1 species